rnacentral:rRNA from 1 species
GUAGGUGGCAAGCGUUGUCCGGAAUUAUUGGGCGUAAAGCGCGCGCAGGCGGUUCUUUAAGUCUGAUGUGAAAGCCCACGGCUCAACCGUGGAGGGUCAUUGGAAACUGGAGAACUUGAGUACAGAAGAGGAAAGCGGAAUUCCACGUGUAGCGGUGAAAUGCGUAGAGAUGUGGAGGAACACCAGUGGCGAAGGCGGCUUUCUGGUCUGUAACUGACGCUGAGGCGCGAAAGCGUGGGAGCAAACAGGAUUAGAUACCCUGGUAGUCCACGCCGUAAACGAUGAGUGCUAAGUGUUAGGGGGGUUUCCGCCCCCUUAGUGCUGCAGCUAACGCAUUAAGCACUCCGCCUGGGAGUACGGCCGCAAGGCUG